AUGGCAGCUGUGAGAUGCAUGCAAUGCCCCAAUGCCUGCAGGAACCUCAGCCCUGCAGGGCAGCGGUGGCAGAGAGGGAAGGAUGCACAGACACUGGGGGGGGGAGGAUGUGCAAUGGGAUGGAUGCAUGGGGUGAAGCAGGUAUCUACAGCACGGCUCCAACCCGAGCAUCGGAACCACUGCGCACCUCUCCCACCCAGAUCCUUCCUGUUACAGCAUCCCUCCUCACCCCCCCCCCCCCCUCCUCCUUUCCCCCCCCCAUGGAUCCUUCCAAGCAAAGCUUCCCGGAUCAUCUGGAUUCCUGCAGCUCUCAGCUGCCAGGAGCCCGGAGGGAGGGAGGGAGCAGCACGCAGCCUGGGAGGCAGCUGGGAUGAGAGACGCACGACGUAUAUAUUUUCCAUUUUCUCAUCUGAAUUACGAGCUCCAAUAAAUAAGGCUGGAAAUCUCACGCAGCGCCGACCUCCUCCCAGGUCUGUCACUUUGCAGCGGGGCCGCUGUAAUUAUGCUGUGGGAAGCAGAGCUCACUUCGCCGAACCCUGAGCGGAUUAAGGAUCCUCCGUGCCUUUUCCCACCCCUCUCUGCCAGGGAAGGAGACGCCUGGAGGAGCUCUGAGGGGGUGAAGCAGCCUGCAGGAGAUCUGCUGCCUUCUCCCCGCUGGUGCUCCCCUCCAGCUCCUUCUGGAUGCAUGGCACGGGCUCUGCUUGCUGCUAGAUCACCCCUUCCCAUCAACACGUCUGCAACACCGGGACCUUCUCCUUCAGAGCUCACCCUGAGCUGCUGCAUGCAGGGUGCUCCCCAGCACACGGGGAGGUCUGUGCAAGGCAGCAGCUUCCAGCCCGAGCUGCCGUUGUGCUCUGUGUGCAGCAGGGAGGUGUAUCAUUAAUCUAUUAAUUAUUCACACUGCGCCAGACGGGCGCGCGGAAGAUCAGACGGGGAUUGCUGGCUCCCAGCGAGCUCCUCGACUCUCCUUAUGUCAAGAAUUGCUCUUCAGUCACAGGCACGUUGUCACCGGCCACCUGCAUGUGACAGGACAAUCUUUGUUAAAAUCCCAAUUAGCAGAUAAUAAGGGCGGCACGAAACCACAUUCUCCCAAGCCAGAUUGGCACCCGCCCUCCUAUUUUUUUUCCUUUCUCUUUAUUUUUUGUCCUUUCCCUUUCUAAAAUGGAUGUUUCUCGCCAAGACUUCAGGGCAAGAGGCAGCUCAGGUGAGUGGAGGAGGGAUGGAGCAGAAGGGUAAAGGAUGAUGGAGGGAACCCAUGCAUAGAAUCAUAGCAUUGUAGAAUCAUAGAGACGUAGUAUCAUAGAAUCUUAGUCAUAGAAUCAUAGAGCCAUAGAAUCAUAGAGCCAUAGAGUCAUAGAGUCAUAGAGUCAUAGAGCCAUAGAAUCAUAGAGUGAUAGAGUCAUAGAGCCAUAGAAUCAUGGAACCAUAGAGUGGUAGAGUCAUAGAGCCAUGGAAUAAUAGAGUGGUAGAGUCAUAGAGCCAUAGAAUCACAGAACUAUAGAACUGUAGAAUCACAGAAUUAUAGGAUCACUGUAUAAUAGUCAUGGAAUAAUAGACUCAAAGAACCAUAGCAUCAUUGAAUGGUUGGGUUGGAGGGACCUUUAAAGAUGAUCAAGUUCCAGCCUCACCAUGGGGUCUGUCCCCACUCUGAUCUCACAGUGAUGGGUCACUGGAGGGCCCUCAGCAGUCUCUCUUUCAUCACUUGCUUGUAGUCGCCAUUAAGUGUUAAUGCAGGGUGAUGAAGGAUGAGAGGAUUUAACAGGCCUGACAGCUGCUUUUGGCUCUUUCAUCCAGGCUUUCAGUAGGAACAACUGGAGAAAGCUAGAGGAGCUCAUGGUCUACCUGGUGCAAGGCAUGGAGAGAAGAAGCUACAGAAAGAG
rnacentral:lncRNA from 7 species